UACGUAGGGGACAAGCGUUGUCCGGAAUUAUUGGGCGUAAAGCGCGUGUAGGCGGCCAAGUAAGUCUUACGUGAAAUCCCGAGGCUCAACCUCGGGCUUGCAGUGGGUACGGGCAGGCUAGAGUGCGGUAGGGGAGAAUGGAACUCCUGGUGUAGCGGUGGAAUGCGCAGAUAUCAGGAAGAACACCGAUGGCGAAGGCAGUUCUCUGGGCCGUAACUGACGCUGAGGAGCGAAAGCGUGGGGAGCGAACAGG
rnacentral:rRNA from 1 species